AAGCAAAGAGAAGAUGAGUGGCCAAUAAAAUGGUCUUAUACUCGCUUCCAUAUCACAGGAACAAUGGCCAAUGAAUGGUCUUACAAUUGUCCUCAAUGGGCAAACAACAAAGAUAUGUCACAAAGACAGAUGAAAUGAUCAUGCACUAAUGAGAAAUUAAUGAUGAUAAAUGCACAAAGCAUGCAAGCAGACAUGUAUAAAUGAACUAAGUAA
rnacentral:lncRNA from 1 species